rnacentral:rRNA from 1 species
AAUACGUUCCCGGGCCUUGUACACACCGCCCGUCACACCACGAAAGUCGGCAACACCCGAAGCCGGUGGCCCAACCCCUUGGGGAGGGAGCCGUCGAAGGUGGGGUCGGCGAUUGGGGUG